UUGACCAUCAGGUAUGUUUCAUCACAGAAAACCAUAAAUUCAGGGUUUCCUUUGUUUAUCUUGUUACCUGUAUUUACAUAGGUGACCAUUGGCUAUUCAACAUGAUAAUAGUUCAUUAUUAUUGUUGAUAAAUUGUUACAAUUUAUUGAUUAUCAUCAUUAAAUGAUAAAUAAAAUUCAUCCAUUGAAAAGAUAAUCAUUAUAAACACCAUAACUGAAUAAACAGUAAUCAUCUUAAUCAAUACAUUGAAUGAGUGGUAACAAUCAAAUUUAAUCAUGAUAAUACUUUAAUCCUAUAAUCUGCUGAUUAUCAUGAUUAGACUUGCGUAUCGUUAAUUAUUAGGAUUAUAAAUGGUUGAUGAUUAACCAAUCAAAAUCAAUUUGAUCAACAACAAGUAACAAAAGUAUUCAGUUUAUUGUUAACAAUUAAACUUUUGUUUCUUCUUACAUUAAUUGUUAACAAAAACUGAUUACUAUUAACGGAAAUCGUAACAAUUAACUUUCAACAAUUGGGUCAAUCAUUAAAUACCUUUUUUUUAACAGGAAACAAUUGAUUGUAAUGAUUAGUGAUUGGGAAGCAAUAAUAGUAAAUCAUUUGAGUUGUGAGUUGAUUUUUAUUGCUUUGUUUUUCCGUUCAGACAAUUAACUAACUAAUCAAAAUUAACUAACACACAGGUAAAUGUCACUAAUCCUCAUUUCCUCAACAAUCAGAAUAUCAAAUUAAAGUGAAGAAAAAAAAAUCAAUUAACUAACAGAUAAUUAAAGUGUUGUUUCAUUGAUUUAUCAUCGUUACUUUGAUCAACAAGAUGAUAUUUGAUUGUUGGGUGAAACCUUAACAGUAUCCCAACCCUUAAUUGUGUCCAGUUGAUUAUAAUAACUACAAUAUAAUUAAUAUUAUCUACAACUACAAGAUAGUAAUUUAAACUUAAUUGUAACCUGAUAAUUAUAAGGUAUUAAGAUGGUGAGUCUAAUCAACCCAACCCAACAUGAAAAGUUGACGAUUAUCACUAAUCAUUUAUGAUUAACACUCUUAAUUGUCAUUUGAAUUAAUUUAUAUAUUAAUAUAAAUAACAUCAAAUCAUCGUGAUGAUUAUUAUGCAUUUGAAAAGUGACCAAAUUUACCAAAAAUUGUAUUAUCGUUGCAACUUCAACAAAAUAUUUCUCAUCUACUGGUCAACCGCAUUGGUCAUCAAAUUUACACAGGUAACUGACCAUAUGGACACGCAAGAUUAGAGGUGAAUCAAGGCAAAUGGUCAGCAGAAGGAGCUUCAAGUUGAAAGGUAAAAAACAUAACAAGGAAGCAAAAAAAUCGCAUUCAGCAAUUGAAUCCAUUGGAACAAAUCAAUCGCAGUUAAUUGUGAUGUUAUUAAAGAGAUGAUAUCUGAUCAAGAUGAAGAUCAUUGGAGAUUCCAGAAACAAGCUUACCUGGGGCUUAUUCACCAUGGAGGGAAAGGCGAAGAGAUAAAAAAAAGCUAAACAUGGCUGCUCUUUUUUGCAUCAUUCUCUUGAUGGUCUGUUCAUCUCUUGGGU